GCUAUUGAAUCUUUAUGUCAUGGAUACAAACUUUUAAUGGUGUUUCCUGUACCUUCAAGAAGCCAUUUUAAUUUACGAAGUACUUUGGCACGAGGAUUGGCUAAUGCAGGACACGAUGUCACUCUUCUAAGCCCUUAUGAAGAUCAUUAUAUUCCUACUAAUGGAACCUAUAGACCAUUGGUGAUGAAUGAAAUUUUGGAAAAGUACAGUGAAAGUGAAUUGGACAUGUUUGCCUCUAGUGAAUCAGCCUCAGAUUUCUUUAAAAUGAUGACGAACAUGCUAGAGCUAAUAUCUAGAGGAACUCUAGGAUCACCAAAGGUUAAAAAAUUGUUGGACGACGGAGAGACUUUUGACGCAAUAAUUUUGGAAGAAUUUAGAAUAGAUUCUCUCUGAAUUUCUGAUACCUGAUCAGGCGAAGCUUCUUAAAGAAUAUUAUCCAGGUUCCCCAGAUAUAGAAGAACUGAAGAAAAAUAUCUCAUUAGCAUUAAUGAAUUCGCAUAUUAGUAAUUUUCAACCAGUUCCAACAGUUCCUGUCUGGAGUACCAGAUAAUGUGAGAACAAUGAAAUGGGUGCCACAAGCAGACGUUUUAGCCCAUCCUAAUGUAAAAUUGUUUAUAACACAUGGUGGUUUGCUAAGUACAACAGAAACAAUUUACUUUGGAAAACCUGUGUUGUGUAUACCAAUUUAUGGAGA